UGGGGAAUCUUGCGCAAUGGGGGGAACCCUGACGCAGCGACGCCGCGUGCGGGAUGGAGGCCUUCGGGUCGUAAACCGCUUUCAGCAGGGAUGAGACAAGACGGUACCUGCAGAAGAAGCCCCGGCUAACUACGUGCCAGCAGCCGCGGUAAUACGUAGGGGGCGAGCGUUAUCCGGAUUCAUUGGGCGUAAAGAGCGCGUAGGCGGCCAUGCAGGUCAGCUGUGAAAACUCGAUGGCUCAACCUCGAGAUGUCGGUUGAAACCGUAUGGCUAGAGUCCGGAAGAGGAGAGUGGAAUUCCCGGUGUAGCGGUGAAAUGCGCAGAUAUCGGGAAGAACACCCGUGGCGAAGGCGGCUCUCUGGGACGGUACUGACGCUGAGACGCGAAAGCGUGGGGAGCGAACAGGAUUAGAUACC
rnacentral:rRNA from 1 species